rnacentral:rRNA from 1 species
UACGUAGGGUCCAAGCGUUAAUCGGAAUUACUGGGCGUAAAGCGUGCGCAGGCGGUUCUGCAAGUCAGCUGUGAAAGCCCCGGGCUUAACCUGGGAAUUGCGGUUGAAACUACAGGGCUAGAAUCUGGCAGAGGGAUGCGGAAUUCCAGGUGUAGCGGUGAAAUGCGUAGAUAUCUGGAGGAACACCGGUGGCGAAGGCGGCAUCCUGGACCAAUAUUGACGCUGAGGAGCGAAAGCCAGGGGAGCAAACGGG